rnacentral:rRNA from 1 species
UACGUAGGGUGCAAGCGUUGUCCGGAAUUAUUGGGCGUAAAGAGCUCGUAGGCGGUCUGUCGCGUCGGCUGUGAAAACUCGGGGCUCAACUCCGAGCUUGCAGUCGAUACGGGCAGGCUAGAGUUCGGCAGGGGAGACUGGAAUUCCUGGUGUAGCGGUGAAAUGCGCAGAUAUCAGGAGGAACACCGGUGGCGAAGGCGGGUCUCUGGGCCAUAACUGACGCUGAGGAGCGAAAGCGUGGGGAGCGAACAGG